GUUCGAGAUGUAACCGCAUGGGGUAGGAAGCCGGGAACUAUUCUCCGGGUCUUUCAAUGGCACCUGAAGCUCACAAUUUAGGCCCAGCUUGCUGGCCGAAACCCCAGAGUGUGCUGCAAAGACUUCUAGAAGAUGCCAGCCUGCUGUUUGUGAAGGUUGGUGAAUACCCCAACUAUCAUCAUUGAGCCUUCAUCCAGUAAUUGAUG